rnacentral:rRNA from 1 species
UACGUAGGGGGCAAGCGUUGUCCGGAAUCAUUGGGCGUAAAGAGCGUGUAGGCGGUCCGAUAAGUCGGUUGUGAAAGUCAAGGGCUCAACCCUUGAAUGCCGACCGAUACUGUCGGGCUAGAGUCCGGAAGAGGCGAGUGGAAUUCCUGGUGUAGCGGUGAAAUGCGCAGAUAUCAGGAGGAACACCAAUGGCGAAGGCAGCUCGCUGGGACGGUACUGACGCUGAGGUGCGAAAGCGUGGGGAGCAAACAGG